rnacentral:piRNA from 1 species
UAAAAAGUGGCUUUCUGAUCUCAUAG